CAAGAAAUUGUUGAGUUUUCGCAUAGCAUUUUAUUGAAUAUAUAUGGACGGUAAAAGAGUUUAGUUAAUACAUUCCUCACUUUUAAGUAUCUAAAACAGUUAUUGAAGCCAGAAGGCACUGCCAAUAUAAACUGUACAUGUAAGGAAAAAACAUUGUUAUAUAGAAAAAAUAAUAAAUUUAAUACUUUAAUCGUUCUCCUCGUUUCUCAA
rnacentral:lncRNA from 1 species